GACAGAGGUGCCAAGCGUUAGGCGGAAUCACUGGGCUUAAAGCGUGUGUAGGUGGAUCGUUAAGUACCUUGUGAAAUCCCACGGCUUAACCGUGGAACUGCUCGGUAUACUGGCGGCCUGGAGGGGGGUAGGGGCAAGCGGAACUGUGGGUGGAGCGGUGAAAUGCGUUGAGAUCCACAGGAACUCCGGUGGCGAAGGCGGCUUGCUGGACCCUUUCUGACGCUGAGGCGCGAAAGCCAGGGGAGCGAACGGG
rnacentral:rRNA from 1 species